UGCGUGUGUUUGCAUGCUAGGCAAUGUGGUGUUAAGGUGUGUACCUGAGAUCGUGUACCUACCCGAAGUCUAAAUCCGAUUGUGGCUUUGGAUUGGUUCCAUAGCGGGUGAAAGUCCCGUGCGGGUAGGACUAUUGUAAUCACACGGUCUUCAGAUGUGCAUGCUUUCGAGUCGGAUUGCUUGAGAAUGCAGUCCAAAGUGGGUGGUAAACUCCAUCCAAGGCUAAAUACUGGCACGAGUCCGAUAGUAGACAAGUACCAUGAGGGAAAGUUGAAAAGUACUCUGAAGAGAGAGUAAAUAGUACGUGAAGCCGAUUGCAGGGAAGCCGGUGGAGUCAAGCUUCGUGCUUGGGGGAUUGAUGCUGGGAGCAGGUGUGUGAAUUGGAUGCGUGAGUGGUCAACUUGGAAUAAGUUGGGCGUGUUCUGAAUGCGCUUCAAGUCAUUCCGGGUAGUGUGUUUUGGGCCAUUCUCGCUUUCCUACUCUCAGUGUUGUAUUCCCCGCUGCACAGGCCACAGUCGAUAGGUGCAUGCGGUAUGAAGGCCUAACUGUGCUUCGGCGGGCGCAAGCUCUCCGGGUGCAGGAAGGCAGGUGCUGUCUUCAGGCCUUGUGUCUGUUGAUAGUUGUUUUGGUUUUGACCGGCUGGUUUUCAUACUGUAUUGUG
rnacentral:rRNA from 1 species